rnacentral:lncRNA from 7 species
UGUUUUCAUGAAUAGGAAAUCAUUGAUCAUAGGACUUCAAGGAUCCUGUCCAAUGUUGCUAAAUAUUCUGGAUGGAGAAAAAAAUCAAAUCCACUUUUGUGACAAUGUUUUGUAGUCAAAAUAAGCUUUCAUCUCACUAUGGACAUUACAACGUUCAGAAAAGGGGAAAUUUUCUUUCUAACACUUGCCAGAAAGAUGCAAGGGCGCUUCAGAAGGAAAAAUGAUGUUGCACAGAGAUAUUUUUUUUUCUAACUCUAAUAUGUGGUGGACUAAUUUAAUGAGAAGCGAACUUCUUAUAAAGUCACCAUGACACGUCUGACUGUGGAUGCUCUUGUUAUCUAUACAGAGCCUUAUUUUUAAUGACUAAUGUUGAGUUCCGAAGAUUAAUAUUGUGGGAGGAGGGUAGGAGUGAAGAAGUACAAUUUUAUGUUUUCUUAUGUGUUUGAAAGGUGAAAGCUUUCAGUUUUAUUGAAUGUUUUAUCCCACUUACAUUAGGAAAGUUUAUACCACCUCAGAGUUUACCUCUUGAUAAGUAAUAUACAGCACAUAGGAUUUUAUUUAUGCUUCCUUUUAUCACUUUGGCCAAAGAGAGGACAUCUUAUUAUUUCCUAUCCAUCCAAAUACACCAACAAAUUUAUCUAGAGUUCUCUCUUCUUUUAUAGUUUGUCUUUUUGCUCAGUAUAACCCCAUAUUUGUGUUACACGUUCUAUGAAUCAACCAAAAUUGAAGACACAAUCACAGGUGAGGUCAUAACAUUGAGAAAAUUUGUUGAUACUGUAACCUCUCCAGUAGAAAAAAAAUUGGAGAAAUACAUUCUAGCAAUGUUUUGUUGUUUUUUUUUUUUUACCUUUCGUUCUACCAUUAUCACCAUUAUCACCAUCUUGUUAUACAUCCUACUAUACAUCUCAAAAAAUAAGAGAAAAUGGAUUAAAAUGGAUAUGUUUACUUUUACUAGCAACUGUACUGCUUUUAAGCAGUGCUUUCUGGUUAAGAGGGGCAGCCUUCAUGGUUCUUUUUGUUCUUUUGCAAUCAUAGCAUCAUCUGUGCUGAUAGACAUCCUGACUCUCAGAGACCUUAGGAGUAGAAAUACUGGCUCAUAAUCAUUCUGAAGCAAUCUAGAGGCCAAAGUGUAUUAUUCUGCAUUGGUACAAUAUUGCUUCACAGGAAGAAAUGUAGUAGUUUGAAUAGAUAGAAGUUCAGAUGAAGGCUAGCACUGAAUAUAUCUUAGUCAGGAAACCCAAGUGUGCAAACUGUAAGUUGUAGUUUCAUGAGCCGAUCUGGAGAACAAACAUCUUCUUUCAUUGUAAAGGAAAAACCUCAGCUCAUUUUUUUUUGUCAGUGUUGCCUCUUUCUUUUCUCCAGGUUUCCAGAUGUCCUACAGCAUGACCCCUCAUCGCUGCUUCCUGGAACAGCAACAUGCUACAGAAAUUGGGAUACAAAUCCUUUUUCUGCCUCUAAUUUCUCACAUUAGUUUGACCAACCAAACUUGUUUUUGAUUUAAAGCUGUCAACAAGCUUUGUCUGUUAACAUUGACUGUGUGAGGAUCCAGAAGCUAUCAUCUAAAUUUUUAUAUAUUUAGCAUCAGGUCUUCUAACCAUGCUAAAACUACACAAAGAGCCCAGCAACUUUCCCAGGAAAGUGAGCCUGUGCUAAACUACCAAAGUAGAGGUAUUUUGCUGCUAUUUUUCCACUCAGUCUAAUUUAUAAUUUUGUUUACUUUCUUGAUAUGAACACUCAAAUCUGAGGAGAAGAGACUGCAAACUGACUGCAAACACAUUCCUCUUUGGCAGAGUCAUCUCGGUAAUUUGUGCUGACUGUAUGGAUAUCCGGUAGUUAAUACAGCGAGGAAAAGUCUUAUUUUGUCAAAAGGGAAAGAAAGCUCUCUCUAUAUGGUAUUGGGUACAAAUAUGGGGUCUCCUUGAACAAUUCAGUUAGGAAGAAUUUCUGAGCUCAAGUGAAAAAUGCUUAUUUUCAGUUAUUCCGCUGUAGAUGUUAAACUAGUUUAUUG